rnacentral:rRNA from 1 species
GAUGAACGCUGGCGGCGUGCUUAACACAUGCAAGUCGAACGGGAAACCUUUUAUUGAAGCUUCGGCAGAUUUAGCUGGUUUCUAGUGGCGGACGGGUGAGUAACGCGUGGGUAACCUGCCUUAUACAGGGGGAUAACAACCAGAAAUGGUUGCUAAUACCGCAUAAGCGCACAGGACCGCAUGGUCCGGUGUGAAAAACUCCGGUGGUAUAAGAUGGACCCGCGUUGGAUUAGCUAGUUGGCAGGGUAACGGCCUACCAAGGCGACGAUCCAUAGCCGGCCUGAGAGGGUGAACGGCCACAUUGGGACUGAGACACGGCCCAGACUCCUACGGGAGGCAGCAGUGGGGAAUAUUGCACAAUGGGGGAAACCCUGAUGCAGCGACGCCGCGUGAAGGAAGAAGUAUCUCGGUAUGUAAACUUCUAUCAGCAGGGAAGAUAGUGACGGUACCUGAAUAAGAAGCCCCGGCUAACUACGUG